CCUGCCCUUGAAGCUUGAUUGGCGGCGUCCAUGUUGUCGUCAAACAGGUGAAACGCCAGUCUUCAGCACGUCCUGUGUGUUCAGGACACACCUGGAUGACGCACGCUACCUGGCAAAAGUCCUGGAACAACAAAGGAGGAGAAGGAAGGAGCAAGGUCAUGACGGGAAACGACAGGUGGCGACGGCGAGUGGAACGCCGCUGCUGCUGGUGAGGAGGAGAGACGAGAAGCGCAG